CACUGGAAAUUUAAUUGUGAAAUCCAGACGGAACUGAUCCUCGCAGACCCUCCAGUGCGAUGCUUGCUUAGAGCCUGCCUGCAGCACACAUGGAUCCAGAUUUGUGCCUCUUCUCUCCCCACUUCCUUACACCAUGUCAUCAUUACCUAGAAAACAAACAGAACAAGAAGGGGAAAAACAAUGUAGAACAUCCCAAAGACAUCGCAAAGGCUGUCUGCUGAAAGUGAAACGGAGAUUGGAUUCAUGAAGUGGAUUAAACCAAUAAAUGUUAUUGCUUCUUUGGAGGCUACAAGAUCUCUAGAUGAAGAAGGAAGCUGCAUUAUUAAAAUCCAAAUUCUGGAUAUUGCAUCUGAGACAAUUAUCUCACAGAAAUUUAUCCGAGGAACCGAUUUGCAAUUAAAAACUCUGAGGAGAACAAAAACCUGUGUGAAAGACACGGUAAGAAAUAAAGCUCUCUUUUCAAUGAUGAGGGUUAGUUCAUCACUGAGUGUUAAGUAAUGACUGAGUGUUAAGUAAUUGCUGUUACUUAACACUCUCAAGGUUAAGUAAUUAGUUGGGCACCCUUUGGCACUGGGGGUAGAGGGGUUGGGGGAGUCCCUAAAUGUUUCUACAAGUUUUUUGUGGUACUCCAAGCUGUUAAUUGCUCCAGUUGCCACCAUCUUCCAUCCCAAGGAGACACUCUUACAUGCAGAGUACCUUUCCCUUCUAUGAUAU